UUUAUUUCUAGUUGUCAUGUCAUUGGUUCCUUGUUUCUCUUUAAACCUGUCUCUAGUUGUAAAUAUCUUCUGUUGCAUCUUAAUUGUUUAAUCAUGUUCGUCUUUUUUAUUAUGCCUCUUGUAACAUUUGUUUCUCUGUUGGUGUUUCCUUUUUUCAUAUUUUGUUAGUUGUGUAGAAUUCUCACGUCUAGGAUUAGAGAAAUCAAGGAUUGCAUUGAUAAUUAAAUUGUUAAGUACAUGCUCCUUAUAGAGGGAGAAAAUUGUAGAGUCUUAAGUUAACUAUACUUAGAGUCCUACUACAAUACCUAUUACUAUUAUAAUAAUAAUAAUGUAAUUAUAAAUAAUCUAAUCCUAGUCGUAAUCUAAUUCUAGUUGACUUCAGCUAGUACAAGAAGUAGCAGCCUAGUCGAUAUAAGUGACCUAAACCUAGAGUGACUCUAACUCCGUUGUACACGUUGAUUGGACCAGGUUGUUCAACCUGCUCCAUGUCUUCAGUUUUCUUUAUCUUCAACACUUCCCCUCAAGCUAGAGAGUGGAGGAACGAUUACUUUUAGUUUGCUUCGUAAAUUUGUCAAUGCUUCGGUAUGAGUGUGAUGUCAAGUCGUUGCUUGUGAUAGUUCAUCUGCAGAUUGAUAUGAGUAGUCCCACCUAUAAAAACACUUAAGAGCAGUAUGAUUAUUCCUACCACAAAUUUGACUUUACUCAGUACUGUUCCUCUCCUUAUUUCCACUUGGAAAACUUUGAUUGUUUGGAGAACUUGGUCCAUAUUGAUUGAUUUGAGAACCUGUUCUCUGUCCAGUAGGCUUGAAACCUCUUUCUUUGGAGUUGAAGUUGUUGUUUUCACUUCCCUGCCCCUUUGGGCAAAGAAUACCAUAUUAUGGUUUUGUUGUGGCACCUCUUUUUCAUCUUCCCUUAUAUCAAAACCCUGAGAGCAUUAACAAAUUGAUUAAGGGUAGGAUAUGAUACCUUAUCUAACAUGAUAGUCCUGAAGGUCUUGUAUUUGAGACCUAAACCUCUAGCAAAAUUGAUUACUUUGCUAUCUUCAUCCACAGGUUUUUGAAUGGCUGCAAAGCCAUCACAUAUGCCUUUGAAUUCCUUGAUGUAUUCAUCAAUCUUUUUUGGUUCCUAGCCUAGCACUUUGUAGUUGUUGUUUAUGCUGAAACUUCUUAUCUUUUGUUGCUUGAAGAUAAACUUCUUCCAAGCAUUCCCACAUCUCCUUGGUCGUUGAGCUGCCCAAAAUUAGGUACACGCUUUCUUCUGUCAAGGUGCCUGAGAUCCAACUCCUUAACAACACAUCUUUCUCCUCCCAAUCAUCAAGUAUUGCCACUAUCUUUUGCAUCCUUCUCAACUGCUACAACUUUCCCAAUAGCCUGUCCAAUGGAACAACUACUUUAAGUUGGUUCAUUCAUUGUGAUGAGAUAGGUUAGUCUCAACACCUGAAUCAGUUGGGAUAUUUGUAUCCUCCAUAUGAGGUAGUUUGUUGGCUUAAGUUCAAUGGAACAAGCUGUAAUGCGUUGGUGAAGUGAGGAGGUCGACAUAGUGUUGGUGGAGGGGGCCAUUGCAGUUGAACGUGUUUUUUUUUGGAUCACUACUUAGAGAGCGGAAAAGCUUUUAAGCUAUGAUACAAUGUAGAAUUCUCACGUCUAAGAUUAGAGAAAUCAAGGAUUGUAUUGAUAAUUAAAAUUGUUGAGUAUAUGCUCCUUAUAUAUAGAGAGAAUUGUAGAGUCCUAAGUUAACUAUAUUUAAAGUCCUACUACAAUACCUAUUACUACUAUAAUAAUAAUGCAAUUAUAAAUAAUCUAAUCCUAGUCGUAAUAUAAUCUUAGUCGUAAUCUAAUUCUAGUUGACUUCAGGUAGUACAAGAAGUAGCAACCUCGAUAUAAGUGACCUGAACCUAGAGUGACUCUUACUCCGUCGUACACGCUGAUUGGACCAGGUUGUUCAACCUGUUCCAUGUCUUCAGUUUACUUUAUCGUUAACAAGUUGUUGUGUACAUUAUUGUGUUAUGUACGGUUUGUUUCCCGAUCAUUAUUUCAUGAUUUAUUCACCUCUUGUCUAUUUCUUGGUAUACCAUCACAGUCACUUUUUACUGAACAAUCUUUUCCUACUUUUUCCUAUUGAUCACUGGGUAAUGGAUUUUUUUACUUUUCUUACUCUUUCCCAUCAAUCUCAAAAUAAUUUUUGACAAGUUACAACCCCUGAUUCAAACAUAGUCAUCCAACUUAGCAUUUUGUCUUUUGAUCCUCUUGCCUUUUCCCAACUCUGUUGUCAUCACUUGUGCAUCGACCUUAGUAGGGGCCCUAUCGUUCACAACGUCUCUGGCAGCCAAAACAUUGUUAGGAGUUUGAUGUACCAUCCCAGAUUGAAUCUUGUUUGGUACCUGUAAAUGGCUACUAGAACCCUGUGUCGCUCUGAAAAUGCUCCAUAAGUAGCAUUUCAAUUGGUAUCCUGCCAGCUAGUUUCUCAAAUAACUUAACAAUGAACAUGAAAUAACAUCUAAUGAAAACACGAAAUAAGUAAAAACUUACUUCAGUGACACAUGGUCAUUCUAUGGAUGUGAAAACCAAUAGCUCCCCAUAUGGCGUUAAAGCUCGUAGAGCAUGUUCUCCACCAAUCAUAUCUUCAACCAAAUGAUCAAUUUUCUCCUGGUUUCUGUACGGAGAAAAUGAAAAUGACAACAAAACAAAUUUGAUGAAAAGUACUAAGCAUAAAAUGGUGAACAUAUAAAGUACUUACCUUGCCUCCGAGGGGAAGAAACAAUUCAGUGUCAUCAGCAGUAGCCUCUAAUGUGUUGAAAUACUUGGGCCAAAGUUAUCGACUUUAGGAAGCAUUUCAAAGUCAAGAUUAAGAAAAAGUACCUUUGUUUUUUCAAAAACACUUUGGCUUGCUUUGUCGGAGAGGUGAGCAACAACUCCGUCAAACUUAUACUUUUUGUUCCAUCCGUUAAAGCAACCUCUGCCAGAAAAUGUGCAAGAAAACAGACAGUAGGGAAGUUAUUUUACUGAACAAUCUUGUCCUCACUUUCCUAUAAAUCUCAAAAUAUUGUAUUAGACAAUAGAAAUGUCUAAUACAAGAAUAACAUCAAAAAUUAUUUUGAGAUUGAUAGGAAAGAGUCGGAAAAUAUUGUUCAGUAAAAUAACUUUCCUAUUGUCUAUUUUCUUGCACAUUUUCUGGCAGAGGUUGCUUUAAUGUAUGGAACAAGAAGUAUAAACUUUACGGAGUUGUUGCUCACCUCUCUGACAAAGCAAGCCAGAGUGUUUCUGAAAAAGCAAAGCUACUUUUUCUUAAUCUUCACUUCGAAAUGCUUCCUAAAGCCGAUUUAUGGCCUAAGUAUUUCAACACAUCAGAGGCUACUACUGAUGACAUUGAAUUAUUUUUCUUCCCAGAGGCAAGGUAAGUACUUUAUAUGUGUACCAUUUUAUGCUUAGUACUUUUCAUCAAAUUCACUUUGUUGUCGUUUUCUCCGUACAAAAACAGGAUAAAUUUGAUUGUUUUGUUGAAGAUAUGAUUGGUGGAGAACAUUCCGUACGAGCAUCAAUGCCAUAUGAGGAGCUGUUGGUUUUUACAUCCGUAGAACUGCCCCUGUGUGACUGGAGUAAGUUUUUACUUGUUUCGUAUUUUCAUUAGAUAUUGUUAUUUUGUGUUCAUCAUUAAGUUAUUUGAGAUGUUGGUUGGCAGGACUCCAACUGAAAUGCUACUUAAGGGGCAUUUUUAGAGCGACACAAAGUUUUAGUAGUCGUUUACUGGUACCAAGCAGGAUUCAAUAUGAGAUGGUACAUCAAACUCAUGACAAUGUUUUAGCUGCCAGAGACGUUGUGAACGAUAGGGACCCUAUUGAGGUCGAUGCACAAGUGGUGACGGACGAGUUGGGCAAAGACAAGAAGAUCAAAAGACGAAAUGCUAAGUUGGAUGACUAUGUUUGAAUCAGGGGUUGUAACUUGUCAAAAAUUAUUUUGAGAUUGAUAGAUAUGCACAAAUUCAGUUACAUCUCUAGGAAGGGUUGUAAAACAUUCCUAGGUAGGCUAAAACUAUGUUCCUUGGAUGUAGGCCUCACAAUUCAGACAUGAAGAUGAGACGAUACUGAAAGAAUCAGAGGAACAAUUGAUGAAAGAGGACUCGAAAAACUACCAGGCUACAGUAGGAGUGACAUAAACUAAUAUCAGAUGAGAUCUUUGAGUGCAAGAACACAAUUGACUUCAUGAACCUUGAGUAUCGCGCUUGCGUGUUAUUACUGUGACAACCUUCAUGGCCCAUUUGUUGCUUAUUAAGCAAUUUUCUGUGAAGUCCUUUCCGAUUAGCUUCUUUCAAUUAGGAUGAUCAAAUUUAAAAUAUUGACGCAGAAAGUAACAGGACGUUGAGUAUUGAUUUUGAAUGUGAUUUAUUAUGUCUCUAAGUUCAGUUGAAAUUAUCUAAUGGAGUUGCAGCAAAGAAAAACUGAAGUGUUGGACCAAGCGACUUUUUUUUCCUUCGCAUAACAGCCAGUGUUGUAAAAGUCAUCUCAUUGUCACUCAAAGCAAUGAAGCUAUGUGAAGAAAGGGGUUCCUCAUAGGUAAAAACAUGUGCGUCAAGGAGUGUGCGCUUCAAAUAAUGACGCAAAAAGGAUACUCAUUUUCUACCACCAAGGUUUAGACGUAUGGAAAGAAACCACGUAGCUUUUUGGCCUUUGUGGAAUUUGAACCUACACUUCAGUUGCUUCAGCAAAGUCACUCUGGUAAAUAUGAAUCUCAGAGAAACUUUCUAGUUGACAUUAAAUUAAAUUUUCUUGACACACUAAUUUUUUUGUAAUUACUUUUCCCUAAAUAAAAAUGGGCAUUUGAAGUUUCCAAUU